rnacentral:rRNA from 1 species
UACAUGCCACUAUGCCCUGACCCGCAAGGGAACGGGUGGAUUUAUUAGAACAGAACCAACCGGGGGCGGCUUCGGUCGUUCCUGUUGCAUUCUGUGAUGACUCUGGAUAACUUCACUGAUCGCAGUCGGCCUUGUGUCGGCGACGGAUCUUUCAAAUGUCUGCCCUAUCAAUUUACGAUGGUAGGUGACCUGCCUACCAUGGUUCUAACGGGUAACGGGGAAUCAGGGUUCGAUUCCGGAGAGGGAGCCUGAGAAACGGCUACCACUUCCAAGGAAGGCAGCAGGCACGCAAAUUACCCAAUCCCGGCACGGGGAGGUAGUGACGAAAAAUACGGAUACGGGACUCAAUAGAGGCUCCGUAAUUCGAAUGAGUACAAUUUAAAUCCUUUAACGAGGAUCAACUGGAGGGCAAGUCUGGUGCCAGCAGCCGCGGUAACUCCAGCUCCAGAAGCGUAUAUUAAAGUUGUUGCAGUUAAAAAGCUCGUAGUUGGAUCUGGGUCGCAUGGCUACAUGCCGUCGCUCGUUGGUGUGGUCUGGUUACGACCGGAUCAAGCCUGCGAGUCGGUCUAGUGGUUGUGCUUCCUUUCUGCUGUGUCUGUUUACAGGUGUCAGCGUGACUGGUGGGCUUGCCUGCUGGUCUGUUGGCAUGCUUCUUGGUGCCUUUAAACGGGUGUCGGAGGCGGACAGCACGUUUACUUUGAACAAAUUUGAGUGCUCAAAGCAGGCCUUUGUGCCUGAAAAUUCUUGCAUGGAAUAAUGGAAUAGGACUUCGGUUCUAUUUUGUUGGUUUUCGGAUCCGAAGUAAUGGUUAAGAGGGACAGACGGGGGCAUUUGUAUGGCGGUGUUAGAGGUGAAAUUCUUGGAUCGCCGCCAGACAAACUACAGCGAAAGCAUUUGCCAAGGAUGUUUUCAUUGAUCUUGAGCGAAAGUCAGAGGUUCGAAGACGAUCAGAUACCGUCCUAGUUCUGACCAUAAACGAUGCCAACUGACGAUCCGUGGCGGUUCUUUAUGUGUCCCCACGGGCAGUCCCCGGGAAACCCUUAAGUCUU